GACGAACGCUGGCGGCGUGCCUAAUACAUGCAAGUUGAGCGCUGAAGGUUGGUACUUGUACCAACUGGAUGAGCAGCGAACGGGUGAGUAACGCGUGGGGAAUCUGCCUUUGAGCGGGGGACAACAUUUGGAAACGAAUGCUAAUACCGCAUAAAAACUUUAAACACAAGUUUUAAGUUUGAAAGAUGCAAUUGCAUCACUCAAAGAUGAUCCCGCGUUGUAUUAGCUAGUUGGUGAGGUAAAGGCCCACCAAGGCGAUGAUACAUAGCCGACCUGAGAGGGUGAUCCGCCACCUUGGGACUGGGACACGGCCCAAACUCCCACGGGAGGCAGCAGUAGGGAAUCUUCGCGAAUGGGCGAAAGUCUGACCGAGCAACGCCGCGUGGGUGAAGUAGGUUUUCGGAUCGUAAAACUCUGUUGGUAGAGAAGAACGUUGGUGAGAGUGAAAAGCUCAUCAAGUGACGGUAACUACCCAGAAAGGGACGGCUAACUACGUG
rnacentral:rRNA from 1 species